rnacentral:rRNA from 1 species
GACGAACGCUGUCGGCGUGCUUAACACAUGCAAGUCGUACGGUAAGGCCCUUUCGGGGGUACACGAGUGGCGAACGGGUGAGUAACACGUGAGUAACCUGCCCACAACUUUGGGAUAACGCUAGGAAACUGGUGCUAAUACUGGAUAUGUGCUCCUGCUGCAUGGUGGGGGUUGGAAAGCUCCGGCGGUUGUGGAUGGACUCGCGGCCUAUCAGCUUGUUGGUGGGGUAGUGGCCUACCAAGGCGGCGACGGGUAGCCGGCCUGAGAGGGUGACCGGCCACAUUGGGACUGAGAUACGGCCCAGACUCCUACGGGAGGCAGCAGUGGGGAAUAUUGCACAAUGGGCGCAAGCCUGAUGCAGCAACGCCGCGUGCGGGAUGACGGCCUUCGGGUUGUAAACCGCUUUCAGCAGGGACGAAGCUUUUUGUGACGGUACCUGCAGAAGAAGCACCGGCUAACUACGU